GGCCGGCGGCGGCGGCGCCUGCGCCUGUACACCGACGUGCGGCACCCCGUGCAGCUGAGCGGUGGGCCCGCUUCGCCGUGGCUGGCGUCGGCCCUCUGGGGGUUGCAGUGGCAAGGAGGCGAGGGGGCUAGGCGCGAGCCGGAUGAGGUGGUCGGCGACGGCGCCUCUACACCGGCGUGCGGCUCCCCGGGCUGCUGAGCGGCCCGCUUCGCCGUGGCUGGAGUCGGCCUCUGGGUGUUGCCGCCGCAAAGAGGCGAGGGGGCCAGACGCGCGCGGGAUGGCCCUUUGGGGCGGUCGAUGGCUGCAGGCACCGCAACAGCAGCUUGCGUUGCAGUCCUUUGAGCAGGUGAGAUGCCGAUGAGACCAGAGCAGGUGCCAUGCCUUUCUACUAAAAUGGUUAUGUGCAGGGCGUCAGAUUUGCUGAACAUUCAGUCAGAGGCCUUUCAGCAGUCCUUCCGGUAUUUUUUGAUUAGCUUACUCGGGAGAACUGCAUAGGUUUGUUCUACCUACAGCAUAGGAUCUAAAAUAAUGCAGUGUGGAUUUAUUUAUUUUCUAAUGAAACAGAUCUCAAAAUCUUUUUGUGUAAUCUGUGAAAAUUUGCCACUGCUGUUUAUAUAUACGAGAUCACUCUCAUAUGUAAGAUAUGUUACAAAACCUUCGUAAAUCUGUCCUUGUUACAAAUAAGCAAACACAUUCAUAAAUGCACUAUCUAAUCUUAAUGA